GAGUUUAUACAAAUCAGUUGCCACAUUUUGAGCUUCUCUCGAUCAACACUUGUUCUGCAGCACCAUUGAAUUGAUACAUCUCUCAAAAGGAAACCCUAAUUGGAAUUUACAGAGAGCGAAGCCGAGACACCUAACUGGAGUCCAUAGAGGGUAGAGAAGAGAGAAAAGAGAGAAGCUUUAGAGAGAGUAAGAGAGAUUAGAGCGAAAUGGGAGAGGGAAGAGAAGGAGAC
rnacentral:lncRNA from 1 species